CAGUAUAGCUCAAUGGUAGAGUAUAUGCUUAGCGUGCAUGAGUCCCUGGGUUUAAUCCUCAGCACUG
rnacentral:tRNA from 1 species